GAAAUCCAGAAGGGGUGGAGCCUGUUGGACAGUUUCUAGGCGACCCAUUCUUGGUUUCAA
rnacentral:pre_miRNA from 1 species